AAAAGAAUAUGAUGUUAGUUCAGACUAAAUACUAUAUAGAGACAUUACACAUGCAAAUCAAACGAUUAUUUAAAAAUAAAAUUGAAAAUAAUUAAGUGGUGUAUUCGUGAGUAAAAGAUAGAAUAAGAACUAAUAAUUCAACUAAAUAUUGAAUAAUAAAUAAAGAUUUAUCUAAAUUGUUAUUAGUCAAGCUAUUUAUAGUAUAGGUAUUAUGUAGGAUAAAAGCCAUACAUAGCCCACAAUCUAUAGCAAUUAAUUAACGUUAUAAUUGUCACGUCGAUAAUGAAAUAUAAUCGAUAUCUAUAAGAUACAGCAGUGAGGAAUAUUGGGCAAUGAUCAAAAAGAUUGACCCAGUUAUCUAUAAUAAUGAAAAAUAUAGCUAUUAAAGCUUAAAAUUAAAUUUAUUUAAUAAAAAAAAAAAUAAAAUUGGUAAAAAAUAAAGUUAUAGGAGAGUGAAAAUAAUGAUAGUAACUUCAAUGAAAAUUGGUAAUAAUAAAUAAAUUUAUUAUUAUUCUGAUAGUUCCAACUAAAAUAUGUGCCAGCAGUUGCGGUUAGACAUAGGGAGCAAGUAUUAGUCAUAUUGGUUUAAAGGAUCCGUAGAAUUUAAAUAAAGAUUUAUAGAGUUAAUAAAAGUAAUAAAUGAAUUAUAAUAGUAAUGAUGAAAUAUUAUGAUAAUUAUAGGACAGACAAGUUCGAAAGUUUUUAUUAUAAAUUAACUGACAUUGAGGGAUGAAGGCUAUAAUAAUGACAUGGAUUCGAUACCCAAUUAAUUAUAGCAGUAAACUAUGAAUACUUUUCUAUUAUUAAAAAUAAAGAAAAAGAGAAAUCAAUAGUAUUCCACCAGGAGAGUAUAAUUACUCAAUUGAAACCCAAUACAAUAGACGGUUAUAAUCAAUAGCAGUGGAGUAUGUUAUUUAAUUCGAUAAUCCGCGAAAAACUUACCACAUUUUGAAUAAUUAUUAUAUAUAAUAAUUACAGGCGUUACAUAGUUGUCUUCAGUUCGUGCUGUGAAGUUUAAGGUUAGUUCCGUAAACGAACGUAUCCCUAUAUAAAUAAAAAAAAUAUUAAUAUUUAUAAUUUACUAUUUAAAUGCAUAGUAAAAAUAGGAUUAAGACAAAUCAUUAUGACCCUAAUAAUGUGGGCAAUAGACGUACUAUAAAAAAAUAAAUAAAAUCAAAUAAAAUAUAUAUAAAAAAAUUUAAUAAGAAAUAAAACUUAUUUUAAUAUGUUAUAUAUUUAUAUAUAAUAAUAGUAUGAAUUAUUUACUGAAAUUCGUAAAUAUGAAAAAAGAAUUGCUAGUAAUCAGUUAUUAAUUAAAUAACGGUGAAUAUUAUUAAUUGUUUCGCACUAAUUACUCGUCACGCGAUAAGUUAAAAAUAAUUACAAAAAUUAAUAUUAUUUAAAUAAUAUUUAUAUCUUAAUAUUUAUUAAUUAUUUUUAUAAUUUAAUUUAAUAAUAAUUUUUAUAUUAUUGCGAAGUCGAAAUACAGUUACUGUAGGGGAACCUGCAGUGGGCUAUAUAUUAUCUAUUACAUAUU
rnacentral:rRNA from 1 species